UACGGAGGGAGCUAGCGUUGUUCGGAAUUACUGGGCGUAAAGAGCUCGUAGGCGGUUUGUCGCGUCUGCCGUGAAAGUCCGGGGCUCAACUCCGGAUCUGCGGUGGGUACGGGCAGACUAGAGUGAUGUAGGGGAGACUGGAAUUCCUGGUGUAGCGGUGAAAUGCGCAGAUAUCAGGAGGAACACCGAUGGCGAAGGCAGGUCUCUGGGCAUUAACUGACGCUGAGGAGCGAAAGCAUGGGGGAGCGAACAGG
rnacentral:rRNA from 1 species